UUGUAUUAACUUCUGGAUAAAUUGUUGCCACUUCUUUCUUAGAUAUUUUUUUGUUUGUUUUUAUAUCUUUUAUUUUCUUCCAGUUUCUUUUCAAAGUCUAUUUGGCAGUUAGACUUCAGUCACAUGAAAUAAAUAUAGAUUUUGCUAUACUUGUUUUUUUUCUCUCGAGAUUUGGUUUGUCUCAUAUUUUCUAGUAAGAGCAACAGUUAAAAUAUUUAAAAUAAAUUUAACUGUUAAUGGAAGAUGACCUAUUUGGUGGUAAAAAGGUUCACUAGCAGAGAAGCAUAGCAAUAAAAAGGGAUUUAUUUUCAGGCUUUGCAACCAGGUAUGUCAGUGAAUGUGUCAGUGAAAUGAUUUCCCAUCCUAAAUUCAUGAGUAAACUGUUAAAAUGCUGUAAAAUGUGGUACUGAACAUGGAAAUGUUCCAUGUAUCUCUACAUUGUACACACUAGCUAGCUAGCUAGCUAGCAGUCCCGUGGUACCUCUUUAAAUAGCUUCCGCCUUCCUCUGAGGAAUGUGUUCCAGAUAAUGAAAGAGGUUCGGUGGCUUAGGGUUGUUUAGUCUGUAACAGGGCCGUCCACCUCCAGUCCUCAAGGCCCUAAAACACUGAGUCAAGGCCUAGUUUUACGUACCUGCUGCAACACAGCUCCUUAUCGGACUGCCUUCUCACGGAGCUGGUAACGAGCUUUCAUUUGAUUCAGGUGAACCAAGGUUUUGUACAAACGCCAUGCUGGAGUCCAUGCUGGCUGCAAAAACAUUUUGAAAGACAAACAGCCAGGAGCGUCACGAUGGCCUCUUCGGUCCAGCUCGCUAAUUAGGCCAAGUGUUAACAGAUCUCCACCUUUGACCCCACUCCACUGUUGUUUUAAUGAGCUCAAAGCAGCGGGCCCGCCUCCUAUUCACCCCAACACAUUCCACAGUGUGAGAGGGAAAUCGGCCGCCACAGGCUGCAGGUCCCCGUUUGUUUCUGGAGAGGAUUGUGAGAUAAACUGGUGCUGGAUGUUGAUUUAGCAAGUCCAGGUUUGGGCCCUCUGAAGCCAAAAAGGAGGAGGAUGUGGAAUGUGAUAAUUUAAACGGUUUUAAAGCCUUCUGGUUGUUGGAGUUUAAUGUGCCAGAGAUGCUUACGGUGGAGUUUGUUUUAUUUUUUUUUAAGGAAUUCAAUGUAAAAUAAGUUAGUGAUUUUACAUUGUUUGUCUAAUCUGUGGCUGUCCAGUCAGAAUAAAAAAAAACAACAAUCAGUCUCAUGGGCCACGCUUGAUUAACUUGGAAAUGGUGGAAAACUUUUAGAUUUAAAAUAAGGAUCUAUAUUCUCCAGGGGAGUACACACCAAGACAGCAACAGCAGCUAAAGCUAAUCAUGCUAGUUGCUAAUAUCAGAUGCUGAUUACAGUUUAUGUCAAUUUCAAAUCCUUUUGUCUUACCUUUUUAAGUUUUUUUUUUUUUUUGCCUGUCACAAAGCAAAAGUUCAAUUCAACCUUUACUGUCUCUUCCUAAAACCAGAUAAAGCAAAUUUCACCUGGCCAGACGAGCUCUUAGAAAGCAACUUAGUAGAUUUCUGAGAGGAACAGCAAAGAUGCUACUUGAGUUAAGAGCUUUCUUUCAAACUUAACACUGAAAUGUUUGGAAGACAUAUUUACUUUUCUUAAAACUACACCAAUAAGCUGACAGGGAUUUUGUCACAGGUGCAUCUUUUUCAAAAUAAAAAAAGGUGAGAUUAACUGUUUAGUAAAUAACAUCACACCAAAUGGCUGCCUAAAUGAGCAGCAAAGGGUUCACACCUUUUCCCAUCAAACAACAUUAUUCAGGUCCUGCCCUGCAGUUUUUGGAGGCUUUUGCGCCAAAAAUCUGAUUAUAUCAGAAGCUCCAAGCCAUAUCAGAAAAUUAAAGACAACAACCUCCG